AACGAAUCACUGAAUCACUGAAUCAUUCAUUACUGAUUUAGUAAUGAAACACUGCUGAUUACAAGUCGAUGCUCAAGAGUUUUGCUGUGACUUUGAAUGGAACUAUUUUCAUCUGAAAUUGAGCAAAAACAGACUAAAUUGACCAUAUUGUGUCUAAAAUGUUGUUCAGAUUAUUGAACAGAUAUUGGAGGAAAACAGCACUGUUGCUGGUGUGAUACUGCUAAUCUAUAUCAUAUGAUAGAAAUAUAAGAGGGUCAUUUUUGCCCUCAUAUCUUGAAUUUUAGUCAUAUAACUGCAUUCUAAUAGACUACCACCUAUCAGUGUAAGAUGAUGUACUCAAAAAUGAACAUGUUAAAACAACAGCCGUAGGUUAAACGAUGUGUAUUUCCUGCAGGUGUACGUACAGCAUCUUCUGAAGAAGAACAAGGAGGCCGUCUGGAGACUGGUUCACACAGACAACGCUCACAUCUACAUCUGCGGAGACGCGCGAAACAUGGCGCGGGACGUCCAGAACGCCUUCUACGAGAUCGCGGAGGAGCUGGGAGGACUGAGCCGCGCUCAGGCGGUGGAUUACAUCAAGAAACUCAUGACUAAAGGACGCUACUCGCAGGACGUCUGGAGCUAAACCAGCUUCUGUCCAUUCCUGAUGAGUCGAAAUGUGUUCGCUGUCAUCGUUCAGGCAGAAAACACACUGACACGCAUUACCUCAGUCGAAAAUGAAUUAUGUCACAUUAUGUUAGAGGAAAAUAAAUACUGUGUAGAAUCAUGAUCUUAACAUACUAAUCAAAUACAUAUGCAUGAAUCUUUAGAAUCAAAAACAUGGUCAUUUUUAGCAACGCCAGACUAAAUGCAGAGCUGGAUUAAUGCUGGAACGCUUCUGUGUAAGCGUGAAGAGACUUUAACUCACUGUUAUUGUUAUGAACUUUAUGAAAGUGGUUUUAAACAUGCAACAGUGUUUCCUGUGACUUUUCAACCUUCAGAUGUCAGAAACAUCACGACUUUUCCUUUUAUUUCUCUGAAGUGAAAGCAUCUGACAGCCUAGAUUCUUCUAGUCACACUUAUAUUAGAGAGACGAGAUGCUGGGCUGGAAGCUCUGGUGCCUUAUUUACUGUCGUUCGCAUUAGUGGAAGACCAGCAUUGCUGCUGAAAGGUUUACUAUUUGGGAAGAUACUA